AUCUUAUCAAGAGCAGGUGGAGGGACUAGCCCGAUGAAACCCGGCAACCGGCGUGUGAACGCACGGUGCUAAUUCUUGCGGAAACUUUGUAUGGGAAGCCUGUCCGGCUGCCCGGUACAAGUUCUCUGGCAGAUGAGAG
rnacentral:ncRNA from 2 species